rnacentral:tRNA from 1 species
GUUUACUUAAUAUAUUAAGUAUAUGUGACUUCCAAUCACAAAGACUAGAAAAAUCUAGAGUGAACA